AAGUUUUGUCGUUUUCCUCAUAUAGAUUUUGUAUACAUUUUGUUAGAUUUUUACUUAGUACCAUUGUUUUGGUGCUAAUUUAAAUGUUAUGGUUUUAAGACACAGCUUCUCGGUUCUGGCUGUUUCCUCCACCCCAUGGUGGCUACUUUGCCUGAGUCCCCUUCACCUGGGUCAACGCCUGGCCUCGCUGCCUCACCCAACACCCCAUGAGGGGAAGGGCUGAGCGGCCCUGAGGGUCAGGUCUAAGGAAGCUGGGGUGGGAAGAAAUGGGAUCAGAACUCAGCAUGAGAAGACCUGGGGAGGCAGCGGCGGUGAGGUGGGGAGGGCACGGCAGGGCAGGGCAGGGACUGCAGCGGGUGGAUCUCGGAUCGCGUCUCCCCUUGGCGCCCACAGCAGCACCCACUACAGAGGGCUCGGGAGCACUCUGUAUCCUGGUGACCUACAGGAGCCAUGGCUGGGUGACAGCAGUUCCCUGAGGGCAAGGACCCCAUCUUCCAGGGUUACCUGGCUCUCCCUGGAGCCCACCACAGCCUGGAGCCCGCCACAGCCUGGGGCCCGCCACAGCCUGGAGUUUCAGGGCUCCUCAGUGCAUGCUCAUGAAAUAAACAACAGCACCUGCCCGUGGGUGGCUGGC
rnacentral:lncRNA from 10 species